GGAAAACACUAGGAAGACUCGAGUUGAAACAAUUGAAAACUUAGGUAAAAGUAGAACUUCAAGAGAAACAAGCUAAGAACUUGCCCAAACUCAAAGAACACGCUGAAUUGGAAUUGUAGCAAUUGAAACUUCAAGAAAAAACAAAUUGCACAUACCAAUAAAAAUUGAACAAGAAUCGACCAACACUCCUCUUUUUAUGAUUUUUAUGUUUUAAAUUGGUAACAAAGAUAAAAGAAACAAAAGAUAAAAGAAAGGUAGAAAAUAGAAGGACAAGUAGAAGAUUGAAUUUCUUUGAUAAGAAGAAUCGCUGCAAAGAAUUCCAAACUCCCAAAGUGACAAGUCAAGUAAUUCACAACAAACAAUGUAUGUUUGAUAAGAUUUUUUGCAGCACUUUGUUCUUUAUCAUAAACUGUAAAGAAAAUACAUCACAUCAUAAGAAGAGUUCUUACAAAAUAAGAAGUAAUGGAAAUCCUAUUUAGGUAGGGAAUAGGAAAUCUUAAAUAAGAAGGAAUAACAAUUACUAAAUAGGAAAGAAAAUUACUAAAGAAGAAAUAAA
rnacentral:misc_RNA from 1 species